GAUGAACGCUGGCGGCGUGCCUAACACAUGCAAGUCGAGCGAACGGACGAGAAGCUUGCUUCUCUGAUGUUAGCGGCGGACGGGUGAGUAACACGUGGAUAACCUACCUAUAAGACUGGGAUAACUUCGGGAAACCGUAGCUAAUACCGGAUAAUAUUUUGAACCGCAUGGUUCAAAAGUGAAAGACGGUCUUGCUGUCACUUAUAGAUGGAUCCGCGCUGCAUUAGCUAGUUGGUAAGGUAACGGCUUACCAAGGCAACGAUGCAUAGCCGACCUGAGAGGGUGAUCGGCCACACUGGAACUGAGACACGGUCCAGACUCCUACGGGAGGCAGCAGUAGGGAAUCUUCCGCAAAGGGCGAAAGCCUGACGGAGCAACGCCGCGUGAGUGAUGAAGGUCUUCGGAUCGUAAAACUCUGUUAUUAGGGAAGAACAUAUGUGUAAGUAACUGUGCACAUCUUGACGGUACCUAAUCAGAAAGCCACGGCUAACUACGUG
rnacentral:rRNA from 1 species